rnacentral:rRNA from 1 species
GAUGAACGCUGGCGGCGUGCCUAAUACAUGCAAGUAGAACGCUGAAGGAAGGAGCUUGCUCUUUCCGGAUGAGUUGCGAACGGGUGAGUAACGCGUAGGUAACCUGCCUGGUAGCGGGGGAUAACUAUUGGAAACGAUAGCUAAUACCGCAUAACAGUAGAUGUUGCAUGAUAUCUACUUAAAAGGUGCAAUUGCACCACUACCAGAUGGACCUGCGUUGUAUUAGCUAGUUGGUGAGGUAACGGCUCACCAAGGCGACGAUACAUAGCCGACCUGAGAGGGUGAUCGGCCACACUGGGACUGAGACACGGCCCAGACUCCUACGGGAGGCAGCAGUAGGGAAUCUUCGGCAAUGGACGGAAGUCUGACCGAGCAACGCCGCGUGAGUGAAGAAGGUUUUCGGAUCGUAAAGCUCUGUUGUAAGAGAAGAACGAGUGUGAGAGUGGAAAGUUCACACUGCGACGGUAUCUUACCAGAAAGGGACGGCUAACUACGUG